UACGAAGGGGGCUAGCGUUGCUCGGAAUCACUGGGCGUAAAGCGCACGUAGGCGGCUUUCUAAGUCAGGGGUGAAAUCCUGGAGCUCAACUCCAGAACUGCCUUUGAUACUGGAGAGCUUGAGUCCGGAAGAGGUGAGUGGAACUCUGAGUGUAGAGGUGAAAUUCGUAGAUAUUCGGAAGAACACCAGUGGCGAAGGCGGCUCACUGGUCCGGUACUGACGCUGAGGUGCGAAAGCGUGGGGAGCAAACAGG
rnacentral:rRNA from 1 species